rnacentral:lncRNA from 10 species
UUCAGCUGAGCCCUCUGGGAAAACACCAACCCCUGCAGGAGGUGGCAGGCGGAGGGGCCCAGGCUGCACUCAGGCUCUAGGAAGUUUUAUUCUGUGUUUGCCCUCCCCAUGGGCUGCACCCUCCUCAGCACAGAGGCGGCAGCUUCCACACCUAGCACCGUGCCAGCCUUGCUGGACACUCAAGAGAGCUUCACAUAGAGGCAGAUGCCACACAAGCCACCCACCCAGAUGCAGAGCCAGAUUCCCUGCAUGGACUGGACGGGAGUUUCCCAGCUGGAGUUCUCUGGGCCCAGUUGCCUGUGACAUGGGGUUGGGGGUGCUCCAGAAAGUCAUGGCCACCCCUGGAGGAAGUGACUUGUGGCUGACUGCUCAAGGGGAAGUCCUGUGGCGGUGGAGUCGUCAGCAUUCAUUCAAAUAA